rnacentral:rRNA from 1 species
GACGAACGCUGGCGGUGUGCUUAACACAUGCAAGUCGAAUGAGUGGAGAACGGGUGAGUAAUACGUGAGUAACCUGCCCUAUUUUUGGGCUAAGCCUUGGAAACGGGGUCUAAUAACGGAUAAAGGGGGAUGGGCUCGCGGCCUAUCAGCUUGUUGGGGGGGUGAUGGAAUACCAAGGAGGUGACGGGUAGCCGGCCUGAGGGGGUGACCGACCCUAUUGGGUCUGAGAUACGGCCCGGACUCCUACUGGAGGCAGCUGUGGUGGAUAUUGCACUGUGGGCGAAAGCCUGAUGCAGCGACGCCGCGUGGGGGAUGAAGGCUUUCGGGUUGUAAACCUCUUUCGCGAUCGAACGGUUAGGUGGAGAAGAGGCGCCAGCUAAGUACGUGCCAGCAGACGCGGUGAUUG